rnacentral:rRNA from 1 species
AAUAUUGGACAAUGGGCGAAAGUCUGAUCCAGCCAUGCCGCGUGUGUGAAGAAGGUCUUCGGAUUNUAAAGCACUUUAAGUUGGGANGAAGGGCAGUAAGUUAAUACCUUGCUGUUUUGACGUUACCGACAGAAUAAGCACCGGCUAACUUCGUGCCAGCAGCCGCGGUAAUACGAAGGGUGCAAGCGUUAAUCGGAAUUACUGGGCGUAAAGCGCGCGUAGGUGGUUUGUUAAGUUGGAAGUGAAAGCCCCGGGCUCAACCUGGGAACUGCUUUCAGAACUGCUGAGCUAGAGUACGGUAGAGGGUAGUGGAAUUUCCUGUGUAGCGGUGAAAUGCGUAGAUAUAGGAAGGAACACCAGUGGCGAAGGCGGCUUCCUGGUCCAGCACUGACGCUCAGGCACGAAAGCGUGGGGAGCAAACAGG